UAUAUCUCCACUUGUGCACCUUUUGUAGACUUGGAUAGUUUUCUGAAUGCCUUUGUAGCAUGUCAGGUUUGAGGAUUGACUAUCUUGUCUAUCUUUACAUUGUCCAGGUCUAUGUUUCUUCAAUAUACCCAAUCUAUUGUAUUAGAAUGUAGUAAUAGGCCUUUGUGCCUAUAAACUUAUACAACUUUCAGCAACGGAUCUCUUGGCUCUCGCAUCGAUGAAGAACGCAGCGAAAUGCGAUAAGUAAUGUGAAUUGCAGAAUUCAGUGAAUCAUCGAAUCUUUGAACGCACCUUGCGCUCCUUGGUAUUCCGAGGAGCAUGCCUGUUUGAGUGUCAUUAAUAUAUCAACUUCUUCAGCUUGUUGAGUGUUGGAUGUGGGGGUUUUUUUUGCUGGCCUUUUCUGAAGGUCCAGCUCCCCUGAAAUGUAUUAGCGGAACAAUUUGUUGACUGUUCAUUGGUGUGAUAAUUAUCUGCGCUAUUGAACUGUGAGGCAAGUUCAGCUUCUAAUGGUCCAUUGAUUUGGACAAU
rnacentral:rRNA from 1 species